AUUGAACGCUGGCGGCAUGCUUUACACAUGCAAGUCGAACGGUAACAGGCCGCAAGGUGCUGACGAGUGGCGAACGGGUGAGUAAUGCAUCGGAACGUGCCCAGUCGUGGGGGAUAACGCAGCGAAAGUUGCGCUAAUACCGCAUACGAUCUAUGGAUGAAAGCGGGGGACCGUAAGGCCUCGCGCGAUUGGAGCGGCCGAUGUCAGAUUAGGUAGUUGGGGGGGUAAAGGCUCACCAAGCCGACGACCCGUGGGUGGUCUGAGGGGACGACCAGCAACAGGGGGCCCGAGACACGGCCCAGACUCCUACGGGGGGCAGCAGUGGGGAAUUUGGGACAAGGGGCGCAAGCCUGAUCCAGCAAUGCCGCGUGCAGGAAGAAGGCUUUCGGGUUGUAAACUGCUUUUGUACGGAACGAAACGGUCCUGGUUAAUACCCGGGGCUAAUGACGGUACCGUAAGAAUAAGCACCGGCUAACUACGUGCCAGCAGCCGCGGUAACAC
rnacentral:rRNA from 1 species